UACGGAGGGUGCAAGCGUUAAUCGGAAUUACUGGGCGUAAAGCGCACGCAGGCGGUCUGUCAAGUCGGAUGUGAAAUCCCCGGGCUCAACCUGGGAACUGCAUUCGAAACUGGCAGGCUAGAGUCUUGUAGAGGGGGGUAGAAUUCCAGGUGUAGCGGUGAAAUGCGUAGAGAUCUGGAGGAAUACCGGUGGCGAAGGCGGCCCCCUGGACAAAGACUGACGCUCAGGUGCGAAAGCGUGGGGAGCAAACAGGAUUAUAUACCCUGGUAGUCCACGCCGUAAACGAUGUCGAUGUGGAGGUUGUGCCCUUGAGGCGUGGCUUCCGGAGCUAACGCGAUAAAUCGACCGCCUGGGGAGUACGGCCGCAAGGUUAAA
rnacentral:rRNA from 1 species